UCUUCCGCAAUGGACGAAAGUCUGACGGAGCAACGCCGCGUGAGUGAUGAAGGUUUUCGGAUCGUAAAACUCUGUUGUUAGGGAAGAACAAGUACUGUUCGAAUAGGGCGGUACCUUGACGGUACCUAACCAGAAAGCCACGGCUAACUACGUUCUAGCAGCCUCGGUAAUACGUAGGUGGCAAGCGUUGUCCGGAAUUAUUGGGCGUAAAGCGCGCGCAGGCGGUUUCUUAAGUCUGAUGUGAAAGCCCCCGGCUCAACCGGGGAGGGUCAUUGGAAACUGGGGAACUUGAGUGUAGAAGAGGAGAGUGGAAUUCCACGUGUAGCGGUGAAAUGCGUAGAGAUGUGGAGGAACACCAGUGGUGAAGGCGACUCUCUGGUCUGUAACUGACGCUGAGGCGCGAAAGCGCGGGGAGCAAACAG
rnacentral:rRNA from 1 species